AUUGAACGCUGGCGGCAGGCCUAACACAUUCAAGUCGAGCGAGCGGCGGACGGGUGAGUAAUGUAUGGGGCUCUGCCCGAUAGAGGGGGAUAACUACUGGAAACGGUGGCUAAUACCGCAUACUUUCGGAUGAACCCAUAUGGGAUUAGCUUGUAGGUGGGGUAAAGGCUCACCUAGGCGACGAUCUCUAGCUGGUCUGAGAGGAUGACCAGCCAAACUGGAACUGAGACACGGUCCAGACUCCUACGCGAGGCAGCAGUGGGGAAUAUUGCACAAUGGGCGCAAGCCUGAUGCAGCCAUGCCGCGUGUGUGAAGAAGGCCUUCGGGUUGUAAAGCACUUUCAGCGAGGAGGCGUUACUCGCAGAAGAGGCACCGGCUAACUCCGUGCCAGCAGCCGCGGUAAUAC
rnacentral:rRNA from 1 species